rnacentral:rRNA from 1 species
AGUCGAACGAAGCACUGUGGAUCAAGACUUCGGUCAAGAGAAACUUUGACUUAGUGGCGGACGGGUGAGUAACGCGUGAGGAACCUGCCUUUCAGUGGGGGACAACAGUUGGAAACGACUGCUAAUACCGCAUAAUGUUUCCGGGUCGCAUGAUCUGGGAACCAAAGCUUUAUGUGCUGAAAGAUGGCCUCGCGUCUGAUUAGAUAGUUGGUGAGGUAACGGCUCACCAAGUCAACGAUCAGUAGCCGGACUGAGAGGUUGAACGGCCACAUUGGGACUGAGAUACGGCCCAGACUCCUACGAGAGGCAGCAGUGGGGAAUAUUGGGCAAUGGGGGAAACCCUGACCCAGCAACGCCGCGUGAAGGAAGAAGGCUUUCGGGUUGUAAACUUCUUUUACCAGGGACGAAGGACGUGACGGUACCUGGAGAAAAAGCCACGGCUAACUACGUGCCAGCAGCCGCGGUAAUACGUAGGUGGCAAGCGUUGUCCGGAUUUACUGGGUGUAAAGGGCGUGUAGGCGGAGAUGCAAGUCAGAAGUGAAAUCCAUGGGCUUAACCCAUGAACUGCUUUUGAAACUGUAUCCCUUGAGUAUCGGAGAGGCAGGCGGAAUUCCUAGUG